rnacentral:rRNA from 1 species
AUUGAACGCUGGCGGCAGGCCUAACACAUGCAAGUCGAACGGUAGCACAGAGAGCUUGCUCUCGGGUGACGAGUGGCGGACGGGUGAGUAACGUCUGGGAAACUGCCCGAUGGAGGGGGAUAACUACUGGAAACGGUAGCUAAUACCGCAUAACGUCGCAAGACCAAAGUGGGGGACCUUCGGGCCUCACACCAUCGGAUGUGCCCAGAUGGGAUGAGCUAGUAGGUGGGGUAAUGGCUCACCUAGGCGACGAUCCCUAGCUGGUCUGGGAGGAUGACCAGCCACACUGGAACUGAGACACGGUCCAGACACCUACGGGAGGCAGCAGUGGGGAAUAUUGCACAAUGGGCGCAAGCCUGAUGCAGCCAUGCCGCGUGUAUGAAGAAGGCCUUCGGGUUGUAAAGUACUUUCAGCGGGGAGGAAGGCGGUGGAGUUAAUAACUUCACCGAUUGACGUUGCCCGCGGAAGAAGCACCGGCUAACUCCGUGCCAGCCGCCGCGGUAG